rnacentral:misc_RNA from 1 species
GGCGCCAGCGGUUCAAUAACAGUGAUGUGGCUUUCACACUUCACGAAAAUACGACUUGUCAAAGUAUGCCACAAUGUUUAGUUUUAAAUCGGUAUAUUUUGUUAUAUUUACUUUAAUUUCGCACGUAGUUUAUGCCGAAAUAUCCGACAAGCGUUUAUGUAUCGAUAAAAAUUGUUCAGUACCUAUUGCGCAGGGGGUGACUUUAAUAAAAUACCGCAGCCCCGAAGCUAACGUCUUGUCGUUCUCCCGAAAUCAGGAUGUGAUAAUAUACAGUUAUGGGGCUGGAAAUAGGCCCAACCUUAUUGGUGUAGAGAUCGGGGGCAAAAGGGGCUAUGUCAACAAGGAUCACAUUAGGGAAUUAGAUCUUUUCAAAAAACCCACGGAAAUUUUAGACACUGAAAUAGUUAAGAAGCCUGAAGUCACUAUUGAGAGCCUCCAAGAUGAAAUAAAAGUCGCUCCCACCCAGGAGGCUUAUGAAAUUGUCGAUGGUACUAAAAUCCCUAUACAUCUAGUUAGUAGCAGCACUGAGGUUCCUUUAGAUAAAGUAGAAGAGAAGCAGAGUUCAUCGGAAGAGACCAAACCUCUUAAUAUUGAUAAUACAAAAUUUAUUGAACCAACCAUUCAAAAGAGCCCAGAACAAAAAGCACAGCUUGGAGUAAGUGCUGAGAAGAUACCAGAAAAAGAAGUUAUCCCAGAUAAUGAGAAUAUUACAGAAGACGAGGAUGAGGAUGAUGAUAGUGAAGGAGAUGAUGAUGAAGAGGAGCAAGAAGAUGAAAUAAGUGAAAAUGAUUUAGAAACAACACAGGAAGAAAAUUCCAUUAAGCAAGAUAUCCCCCAGGAAACUAUUAAUAAAACUAUUCAAGAAAAUGUGCAAAAAAGUGAAAUACCAGAGAAAGCUAUUGAUGGAAAUACUGAAAAGCCUUUGGAAGCUGUGGAAAACAAGCAAGAAGAGUCCUUAAAUACAAACACAGCUGAUCCUUUAUCCAGUACAUCUACUGAAAUUCCUUUGCUACAAAAUGACUUAAAAGAGAACCAACAAACUGGAGAACCAGUAGCUAACACUGAUUCUACACCUAAAAUACCUACCAACACACAAGAUUUAGCAAAUGACAUUUUAACUGAACAAGGAAAUUAUCCAGACCUCUUAAUAACAGAAAAAGAUGCCAAAAUUGCAGAAGAACCUUCACUAAACACUUUACCAAUUACAACAGAAACUCCUUUGGAAAUUGACACUUAUCCAGCCCAAGACUUUGAUCCAGUCACACCGGAUCCAGCCAACUUGAACCUUGUAGAAGCAAAAGAGGAAAUCAAAGUGGAAAAUCCUGUGGGUGGUAAUUUUUCCAUGUUUAGCUCCAACCCAGAGAAUGAUAACGGUCUGGACUCCAUUGAAGGAAAUGCUAAUGCAAAAGAGGACCUUGAAAAAGAAAACUUAGUAGACCCUACUGUGCCACCAGAAGAACAAAUGUUUGGCUCCACUCCUGAAGUUCAGAAGAAACCUGAAAAAGAAUCUUCCAUUGAAGAAGUACCCAAUAACGUUGGAAUUUUGUCUGUAAAUGCUUCUGAUGCUCAGGCUGAAGAAGCUUUACCAGUUGAAGCAAUAGUUGUAGAAGUCACAACGGAUCCGGCCAACUUGAACCUUGUAGAAGCAAAAGAGGAAAUCAAAGUGGAAAAUCCUGUGGGUGGUAUGUUUAGCUCCAACCCAGGGAAUGAUAACGGUCUGGACUCCAUUGAAGGAAAUGCUACUGCAAAAGACGACCUUGAAAAAGAAAACUUAGUAGACCCUACUGUGCCACCAGAAGAACAGAUGUUUGGCUCCACUCCUGAAGUUCAGAAAAAACCUAAAAAAGAAUCUUCCAUUGAAGAAGUACCCAAUAACGUUGGAAUUUUGUCUGUAAAUGCUUCUGAUGCUCAGGCUGAAGAAGCUUUACCAGUUGAAGCAAUAGUUGCAUCUACAGAAGCGCCUAAAGAGGAAUUGGUCCAACCAGCAGAAGACAUUGGAGAGGAUGAUUUAUCAUUUGAAAAACCCCGGGAAGUUGAGAUAAAUGAUCGAUCUUCACAGGAAAAUCUGGGAGAAAGUAGUUUGGCAGAAAACCACUUAGAAAACGGGCAAGUUGAUGGAGUUUUUUCUUCAAUAUUGUCAUUUUUUGGCAUAGGUAACAAUGAUCAGAAAAGUGACAAUAACUUAGAUCAUAACGGAGAGAAUUUUGCCAACAUUUUACAUAUGGACCCUGUAGAAACUGAAGCUUCUCAGUCAACACCUCAAACUCGUGAAUAUUGUGAUAGCAAAUCAGAAAAAUGUCCUCAGAUAGCCAAACAAGGAUUUUGUGAUAAAGAGAGUCAAGACUGCCCCAAAGAGGAGGUGAAACAACCUGAAGAUCCCCCUGGAAGUAUCAAAUCUGCUGAUUUUGAAGAAAUCUUUGUUGCAGCCUUUAGUUCUGACCUGUUUCUCUAUUUGACAACCACAGCUCUAUCCGUUUUGAUAUUAAUUUUCGUGUGGACUUUGCUGGAUAAAUGUCGCAGGGAAGGACCCUUAAUUGCCCGGAUAAAUAAGUUAGAGCAACAGCUGCUGGCCACUUCGAAAGAAAAUGAAAUGCUGCAUGAUAAGGCCACUAGUAUGGUGGAGGAAAAGACUCAGUUGGUAGUUGAAACUGUACCAAAUGAGGUGGUAGAAGAGCUAAAUACAAAAAUCACUGACCUAACCCAGGCAAAACUAGCGUUAGAGGAGCAAAUAGCGGCCCUAGAAAAGGAAUUAGACAAUUCAACAGAAAUGGGCAUGGAAUUAAACAAAAUCAUAUCAGAAAUGCUCAAUUCAACCGAUGGCAGUGAAAUUCUUAGAGAAAACAUUGAGCAAAUGCAAAAGAAAGUGCUGGAACAACAAGACACAAUUAAUAAUUUAAAUGACAGCAUUAGCAUAAAGGAAACUGAAAUUUAUGAGAUUAGAUUAGAGCUCGAUAUAAGCAAUAAAAAAGUGGGUGAUUUACAAGGGGAAGUAGAUAAAAUGGUGGAAAAAAUACUCAAAAUAGAAGAAGAAAAAGAACAGCAACACGGCAGCUUAGAAAGAGAACUGGCCACUUGCCAAGAGAAGUGCAAGCAAGCCCUUACCCAAGAACAUAACCUUAAAUCGGAAAUAAUCGCCUUAAAACAGAGUGCCGCGGAACUGCAAAGAACAGCCGACACGAAAGUCAAAGAAUACAAAACCCUUAAGGAAACUUUAAGUAAAAUAAAGUCAAUGAAUAACGAUAAAGAUAAAAUAAAGUCGUUUUUGGAUAUUACCGAAACCAGGGCUCAGCUCGAGCAAAUGAAGUCUGAGAAUUUGAAAUAUUCAGAGCAGUUGACCUUAGAGAAAGAGGCUAAUGUAACAUACUCGGCCCAAAUAGAGACCCUCACUUUAGAAGUGAAGGAACUCAGAGAGAAAUACGAACAAUCUGAUAAACAAAAAGUGGAGAUCAAUACCAAAUUGGAGGUGUUAAAUAAUUACUUUAAAGAGAAAGAAGAACAAUUGCUUAAGCAAAUAAGUAAAUACGAGUCGUUAUGGGCAGCAAAAGAAGGUGAAGCCACAUCUACAACCGAACGACUUCGAUAUAUGCAAGAAGAAUUGCAGAAUUAUAAGGCUCAAAAUGAAAGUUUAAAACAGGAAAUAAUGAACCAAGAAGUGGAACUGAAGAGCCAAAUAUCGAUGCUGGAGAAGAAAUCGCACGAAAACUGGGUGGCCAACCGACAAACCGAACGAAAAUUGGAGGAAGCGAGACAAGAAGCCGCCCAGUUAAGAAACCGACUGACCAUGAGAGAACGGGCGUUUGCUGAGGGAAACAAUCAAAUGAGAAUACAGUCUCCCUUACAUCAAAACGGCGAGAUUCCGCUGUCGCCGCCGCCUCUGGAUCCCACCCAAUCGCCGCCGCCCCUUUUUAAUCCCCGCGAUCACAUCACCAAGUCGCCGCCGAUCCCGGGUUUGCCGCCGCCGCCUUUUUUGCCGCCCCCGCCGUUGGGUGCCGGUCACUUUAUCCCGCCGCCGCCAUUGGACGGCAUGAUGCCGCCCCCGAUGGGGCGACUUGGGGUUGCCGCCGCCGCCGUUUAUGCCCGGUUUACAUCAUCAUCCGGGAAUGUUUCCAGGCGACCAUAGACCACCACCAUUAGGCAGAAUGAGUUCACCACCCCCCGUGGGAGGCAGAUACUCCCCCGAAUCAACGGUUUAUUCAGAAUACGACAGGUAUGACAGGAGAAGCCCCUCGCCUCCUUACGACUCGGAAUAUGGGGCUUCA